CCGCCACUAGGUCCACCCUUUUCUCCUUGGCCACGUCCCACGCUGCUUGCUCCGCCACCGCCUUUCCAUAGCAGUACCAGUUCUUAGUAGUCUUGCAGAAGUCGAGGUCACUCCAGCAAGAUUCAUCCACAACAACAUCAGGGUUCCUAUUGGGAUCCAUAUAAACAGCACCGAUUGAAGACGUGAACACAACUCGACGAACUUUGGCUUCUGCAGCUGCUAUGAUCACGUUUUUUGUCCCAUUCACUGCUGGCUCCACCAUUUGUUC
rnacentral:misc_RNA from 1 species